CUACGGGGGGCAGCAGUGGGGAAUAUUGCACAAUGGGCGCAAGCCUGAUGCAGCCGUGCCGCGUGUAUGAAGAAGGCCUUCGGGUUGUAAAGUACUUUCAGUGGGGAGGAAGGGAGUAAAGUUAAUACCUUUGCUCAUUGACGUUACCCGCAGAAGAAGCACCGGCUAACUCCGUGCCAGCAGCCGCGGUAAUACGGAGGGUGCAAGCGUUAAUCGGAAUUACUGGGCGUAAAGCGCACGCAGGCGGUUUGUUAAGUCAGAUGUGAAAUCCCCGGGCUCAACCUGGGAACUGCAUCUGAUACUGGCAAGCUUGAGUCUCGUAGAGGGGGGUAGAAUUCCAGGUGUAGCGGUGAAAUGCGUAGAGAUCUGGAGGAAUACCGGUGGCGAAGGCGGCCCCCUGGACGAAGACUGACGCUCAGGUGCGAAAGCGUGGGGAGCAAACAGGAUUAGAUACCCGGGUAGUC
rnacentral:rRNA from 1 species